rnacentral:rRNA from 1 species
AGCGAACGCUGGCGGCAGGCCUAACACAUGCAAGUCGAACGAACUCUUCGGAGUUAGUGGCGGACGGGUGAGUAACACGUGGGAACGUGCCUUUAGGUUCGGAAUAACUCAGGGAAACUUGUGCUAAUACCGAAUGUGCCCUUCGGGGGAAAAAUUUAUCGCCUUUAGAGCGGCCCGCGUCUGAUUAGCUAGUUGGUGAGGUAACGGCUCACCAAGGCGACGAUCAGUAGCUGGUCUGAGAGGAUGGCCAGCCACACUGGGACUGAGACACGGCCCAGACUCCUACGGGAGGCAGAAGUGGGGAAUCUUGCGCAAUGGGCGAAAGCCUGACGCAGCCAUGCCGCGUGAAUGAUGAAGGUCUUAGGAUUGUAAAAUUCUUUCGCCGGGGACGAUAAUGACGGUACCCGGAGAAGAAGCCCCGGCUAACUUCGUGCCAGCCGCCGCAGUAA